GAAAAUAUGGCACCGUAAGUCUGGCCCUGAGGACCGUCUGAGAGCCCCGGCAGCUCUUCCAAGCCCAGAAAUGCACCAUUCAGAGCUACCGUUUCUCCACGGAGCCAUCAUGUGGGAAGAGAAGCAGUUUGCUUUCCCCUCCUCUGGCUCCAAAGUGACUAUAAUUACACCACAAGGUACCUUGCUCAUAAACAUGUGGGAUUUUAACCCAAAGUCUCCGGAGAGACCUUCAAGACAUUACUUGCUCCCGUUACAUCGAGAGCAAGCAUGUUUCCCCCACCCCAGAACGUCUCGUACUGAACAGCGCCUGACGGAUUCUCCAGCAAAAAUUCCGCGACCAAGUCGAUCAGCCAAGGUUUCCAUCACACACAUAUCAUGCCUCUGCUUCGCCAUCAGCCCUUGGCUCUCUCGUGGUCCCUGAUCCCUUCUCAACCCCAAGAGUCGCUUUGGGUUAAUCACCUCCCUCCAACGAUGCCUUACGAGAAACUGCGUCCACAAAACACAAACGGCAAGCAGCUGCGGGUUGCGGCGGCGAAGAAAAGGAUCAGAUGC